rnacentral:rRNA from 1 species
ACAUAACUGAUGCCUCCGCGUAUCGACUUUGUGCGCAUUUUAGCUAUUAUGUGUUCUUUAAUUAAAAUGAUUCUUUUUAAGAUUCAUCUAUUAAAAAUUUGCCUCGGCAUAAUUUUUUUUGAUGAUCUUGUUACUUUGAGUAAAUUAGAGUGUUCAAAGCAAACAGAUAUAGCAUUUGUGCGUUUGAAUACUACAGCAUGGAAUAACAAAAUUGAACAAGUCAGAAUUUUUUUGUUCUUUUUUCUUAUUUUGGCUUAGUUACGAUUAAUAGGAGCAGCUUGGGGGCAUUUGUAUUCAGAUGUCAGAGGUGAAAUUCUUAGAUUUUCUGGAGACAAACAACUGCGAAAGCAUUUGCCUAAAAUACUUCCAUUAAUCAAGAACGAAAGUUAAGGGAGUGAAGACGAUCAGAUACCGUCGUAAUCUUAACCAUAAACUAUGCCGACUAGGCUUUGGAUGAAAGAUUUUAAAAUAAGAGUUUUUCUUUUCUCUCCGGAGAUUAGAACUCUUAGAUUGCUUCCUUCAGUGCCUUAUGAGAAAUCAAAGUCUUUGGGUUCUGGGGCGAGUAUUCGCGCAAGCGAGAAAGUUAAAAGAAUUGACGGAAGGGCACCACCAGGCGUGGAGCUUGCGGCUUAAUUUGACUCAACACGGGAAAACUCACUAGUUUAAGACAAGAGUAGGAUUGACAGAUUAAUAGCUCUUUCUUGAUUUCUUGGAUGGUGAUGCAUGGCCGUUUUUAGUUCGUGAAUAUGAUUUGUCUGGUUAAUUCCGAUAACGAACGAGAUCUUAACCUGCUAAUUAGCGGCAAAUACGAUAUAUUCUUAUGUAGAAUUGAAUAUAGUGGAUUUGUUAGAUUUUGAAGAAAAUAUUGGAAUUACGUCAAAUGUGAUUCCCUUCCCUUUUCUACUUAAUUUACAUUUCCAUCUAUUUCUUUUUUGCGUAUGAAUGUAUUUGCUUGAUUGUAAAGCUUCUUAGAGGAACGAUGUGUG